rnacentral:rRNA from 1 species
AUUGAACGCUGGCGGCAGGCCUAACACAUGCAAGUCGAGCGGACGGCGGACGGGUGAGUAGGGUAUGGGGAUCUGCCCGAUAGAGGUGGAUAACUACUGGAAAAGGUGGCUAAUACCGCAUACUAUCGGAUGAGGCCAUAUUGGAUUAGCUAGUAGGUGGGGUAAAGGCUCACCACGGCGAAGAUCUCUAGCUGGGCUGAGAGGAUGAGCAGCAACACUGGGACUGAGACACGGCCCAGACUCCUACGGGAGGCAGCAGUGGGGAAUAUUGCACAAUGGGCGAAAGCCUGAUGCAGCCAGGCCGCGUGUAUGAAGAAGGCCUUAGGGUUGUAAAGUACUUUCAGCGGGGAGGCGUUACCCGCAGAAGAAGCACCGGCUAACUCCGUGCCAGCCGCCGCGGUAAUAC